UGAGGAAUAUUGGUCAAUGGGCGCAAGCCUGAACCAGCCAUCCCGCGUGAAGGAAGAAGGCGCUAUGCGUUGUAAACUUCUUUUCCAGGGAAAUAAAAUUUCGUACGUGUACGGAACUGAAGGUACCCUGGGAAUAAGCAUCGGCUAACUCCGUGCCAGCAGCCGCGGUAAUACGGAGGAUGCAAGCGUUAUCCGGAUUUAUUGGGUUUAAAGGGUGCGCAGGCGGAAAAAUAAGUCAGUGGUGAAAUCCUGCAGCUUAACUGUAGAAUUGCCGUUGAUACUGUUAUUCUUGAGUGUGGUCAAGGUAGGCGGGAUGUGUAAUGUAGCGGUGAAAUGCUUAGAUAUUACACAGAACACCGAUUGCGAAGGCAGCUUACUGGGCCAUUACUGACGCUCAUGCACGAAAGCGUGGGGAUCGAACA
rnacentral:rRNA from 1 species